AUUUGGAAUCAAUUUUCGUAAUGUGAAAUUUGUGUGUUUUUUAGGGUUAUUUUCUUUUCAAUUUUUUUUCGUUUUUACUGUUUUGUCUUUAUUAAUCUAAUUUUAAAAAAGUAUCCGAUCCAGAACUGUAUUUCUCAAUCUUCCAAUUUAAGGUUCGUCGUUCUUUGCGUUUGUUGUGUUUGUGCUUUUUGAUUCAGCUAAAUUCUCAUCAUCAUCAUUAACAUCCAUUCAAGACUCUCUCCUUGAUUAUCUUGAAGUUUAGAUUUUAUUUCUCCCAGUGUGUUCAAUAAAAAAAAAAUAAAAAUAAAUCCGACAAUACCGUUUUGAAAAGUUUUCAAAAAUAACCGAUUGAAUCGAUCAAUCAAUCAA